UCCUUGAAUGAUCAAAAAAAAAAAUAGAUCAGCCAUUUAUAUCGGGAAAAAGAGAAAAGAAAACGACAAAGAACAACGAACCAUUUUUUCCCGUUGAUUUUGGCCAUUGUUGUUGUUGUUGUAAACAAGAGCAACCUGUCCGAAGGACUGAUCUGCUGAACAAUCCUCUCGAUAUAAUGAUGUAAGACAGAGUAUAAUUUACAAAACCAAAAAAAAAGAAAGAAAAUCAACGCCUGAUUUGUGAACCGGAAAAUCCUGUCGUAUCCAAUGGUCAUUAAUGUUGUUAUUAAUUAAUCGGAAAUAAAUGAAUGUCAAAGUGAAAAAAAAA